rnacentral:tRNA from 1 species
AAGUGUGGCCGAGUGGUUUAAGGCAGCGGUCUUGAAAACCGCCGACUCGCAAGGGUCCCAGAGUUCUUAUCUAAGGGUGAUCCUAGCUGCAGCC